AUUGAACGCUGGCGGCAUGCUUUUACACAUGCAAGUCGAACGAGUUUUUCUAGCUUGCUAGAAAAGCUAGUGGCGAACGGGUGAGUAAUGCGUAGGGAUCUGCCUUGUUGAGGGGGAUAACCCGGGGGAAACUCGGGCUAAUACCGCAUAAGGUCGAGAGACGAAAGGAGGGGGACCUUCGGGCCUUCCGCGACGAGAGGAACCUACGUCCGAUUAGCUAGUUGGUAGGGUAAUAGCCUACCAAGCCGAUGACGGGUAGCCGGCCUGAGAGGGUGACCGGCCCGAGGGGCACUGAGAUACGGGUCCCACUCCUACGGGAGGCAGCAGGCUAGAAAUUUGGGCAAUGGGGGAAACCCUGACCCAGUGACGCCGCGUGCAGGAAGGAGCCCUUCGGGGUGUAAACUGCUGUCGUGUAGGGAGAAGGGUACUAAGGUGAACAAUCUUAGUACUUGACGGUACUACAGGAGGAAGCCCAGGCUAACCUCGUG
rnacentral:rRNA from 1 species